AAUAAAUAUAGUUUUGCACUAUUCAUGUUCAACUUUUGACCGUUCGUCUUAUUUGAAAUUUUUUUAUGAUUAGUAUUUUUAUUGUUAUUAGAUGAUAAAACAUAAAUAGUACUUUAUGUGUGACUAAUUUUUUCAAAUUUUUUAUAAAUUUUUUAAAUAAGAUGAACGAUCAAACGUUGGACACGGUUCCUCACGACUGCACUUAUU
rfam:Oryza glaberrima chromosome 9 Oglab09_0006_1, whole genome shotgun sequence.